GAUGAACGCUGGCGGCGUGCCUAACACAUGCAAGUCGAGCGAACAGACGAGGCGCUUGCGCCGCUCACGUUAGGCGCGGAGGGGAGAGUAACGCGUGGAUAAUGCACUUAUCUUUCUGAUAACAUCUGGGAACAGCGGCGCAUAUACCGGAUAAGCUAUUGAUGCGUAGGGUUCAUGAAAGGUAGAGGCGUUUGGGGAUGGAUUUGCGGCGUAUCAGGCUGUUGUAGCUAGUUGGGAAGGUAACGGCUUACCCAGGUAACGAUGCGGAGCCGAUGAGAGGGGGGGAUCGGCCACCCUGGAACGUAGACACGCUCCAGACUCCUACGGGAGGCAGCAGUAGCGAAUCUGCCGCAAUGGGCGAGAGCCUGACGGAGCAACGCCGCGUGAGUGAUGAAGGUCUUCGGAUCGUAAAGCUCUGUUAUUAGGGAUGAACAAAUGUGGAAGUAACUGUGCACGUCUUGACGGUACCUAAUCAGAAAGCCACGGCUAACUACGUG
rnacentral:rRNA from 1 species